UUUCCUUUGCUCUGCCGAGGCCCCUCCUUAUUCUGCGUUUCCUUUCCCGCUGCUGUCCUCGGACUACAAGCUGUUGUCUGUACGUUUCGCCGCCUGCCUUGGGACGCUAGACACGGGAGCGUCGUUCGUUGGGCGCAGAGUCUUCGGAAUUUAAAGGAAAGGGGUGCGGGCCACGCGACGCAGAGCGAUCGGCUGACCUCUGUAGUGGCCACUUGUCGCUUCUUCGCUAAAGAGGCCGAUCUGCGGUCUUCUACCCGGUUUGGUUGUAGACGGCGAACACUGAAGUGGAACCUUCGCUUUCCAUGCAGGGAGCGGCCGGUGGGAAGACGAGGCCGCGACAAAAGGAAAUCCUGCCGCCGUCACCAGUAGAACCGAGAGAAAUAGCAGUGGAAGAAUGUGAAACUGGUCUUGGUAUUGGAUAUAGAAAUGUCAGUAGACGAAUCUUCUAAAAAUAUGAAGAAAACUUGCAACUUGAUGAUCAAAGCAUAAUUAAGAUGUUACCUUUGAAAAGUGCAUUGCCAAGACAAUGACAAAAGAUUACAACCUAUUCCAGUUCUCUU